UACGUAGGGUGCAAGCGUUGUCCGGAAUUAUUGGGCGUAAAGAGCUCGUAGGCGGUUUGUCGCGUCUGCGUGUGAAAACGCGAGGCUCAACCUCGCGCCUGCAGUGGGUACGGGCAGACUAGAGUGCGGUAGGGGAGAUUGGAAUUCCUGGUGUAGCGGUGGAAUGCGCAGAUAUCAGGAGGAACACCGAUGGCGAAGGCAGAU
rnacentral:rRNA from 1 species